AUUACUAUCUUGCUAGGUUCAGUUGUCAUAGCUGUUCGGAAUCCACAAACCAUCCCGACCGACGGUUAGAAUUUUUUUGAAUAUGUCCUUGAGUUUAUUCGAGACUUGAGCAAAACUCAGAUUGGAGAAGAAUAUGGUCCCUGGGUUCCCUUUAUUGGAACUAUGUUCCUUUUUAUUUUUGUUUCGAAUUGGUCGGGUGCUCUUUUACCUUACCAAAGCUAG
rnacentral:rRNA from 1 species